AGUGCCCUACAUGGGAAGGUGACAUUUGGGAGAACAAUUGCCGGGCUGUUAUGCCAUGCCUACACUAUGAAUGGGGCUUAAGAAAAGGUGUCCUUGGACUCCCAUCAUCUCCUCCAUCCCCUGCCUCCUGACACGGGCCAGCAGCGUGCAAACAGAGCAGCGUGGGAGAUGAGAAGGGAGCACACUCCAAACUCAUUGCCUUACUGUGCAGCCCGCUUGUCUCACUGCUGCACGGGGAUGCUGAGGAUGCUGAUGGAGAAUGCACAGACCAGGAAGGACAGUGGGGAAGGGGAAGCUCGGGGGCUUUCUGCAGCUUUGUUCUUCGGGCUGAGCCGGGUCUGAGCUGUGUUUUGGCCAUGCACCUGCUGCAGAUGUCGGAAUGGUUUUCUUUGCACAAACACCUGGAUGCGUAGGUCUGGCCAGGAAACCUUCAAGUAGGAGCACUUUCCCUUCUAAGCAGUCUGUCUUCCAGACCAAGGAGAAAAUGCAGUGGCAGAGAAGAUCCACUGUUCUGAGGACAGAGUACUUGGCCAACGUUGAGUGGAUCCUGGUGCACCAUAGGCCUUCAAAACCCAGAAUCCUGCUCUAGAUGGUUCUGCUAAUAAGAAGGACAAUGUAAGGAUGGAGGAAAUUGGGUGUUGGUGAGCGAAGUGCGUAGUACUCCUCCUGAGAUGUUCUCCUGUUGGUUGGAAACACAUCCAACUUGUCAGGUAGGAGGAAUCCUGGUUACUUCAGAUGCUCUGAUAGUCUGCAGCCAUGAUAGACCCUCUUGGACAAGCAUUUCAGCUGAGCUAGGUCAUGCCUAGCACUCAUACCUGCAAAAUUCAAGAUAGCUCAGGGAAGCCAGUACUGUACUGGAUCGCUGCUUUUGUUCAUACUGCAUAUUGGACUGAAAUUUAGGACCAGACUUGAGAUCUUGUUUGUUUAGCAUGUGUGUUUUCAUGGCCUGUGAGGCUCAGAGAUGAGUUGGUCCCAGCCCUGAUGAAGACCUUGGGCACUGCAAGCAGCACGAGGCUGGAGGAGACAGCAAGUAGCCAUCUCCUCCUGACUGCUGGCAGCUCCCUGGCUGGGCUGAAGACUUACUCUCUUCUUCACCUUCACCUUCAUUUUUUCUUCUUCCUCCUCAUCUUCCUCAUCACCUCCCUGCUGGGGCAAAUUCUUCAUCCACAGGCUCUGCCCAUUCCCUAGUCCUGGGAAGGGUUGCUGUCUCUUUUACCUGAAGAAUUCAGCCAACGGUCUGGCUUCAGCUCAGAGUUGGCAGCUUUUUUUCCUCCUGAUUUCCCCAGAUCUCGGUGGGAGCAGAUUUGGCCUUGAAUUUGGGUUUUGAAAUCUUAUGGGGAGCUCAAGUUUGGGGGAUGGAUAGACAAGAGUAGGCACACUUCAAAAUCACCAGGGCUGCCCAAAAAAUGGUCGUGGCGUUGGAGACAGCACAAACGAUGAUGACGAGCAUCAAAACCCCAUGAAGUAAUCCCAGCCCUGGCUGUGCUGCUGACGCUCCUGUUCUCCUCGGGCAUUCAGGAGAUCCUUUAAUGCAGCGGCUCUUUGGCUUUUAGGAGUGGUGGCUGUCCGCCAGCCCGAUUUAUUUUAAACAUGUGUUUUUGAUUUGAAAAUGUCCAGAUCUCCAAAUCUUUAAUCUUCUCACACCUAGGGAUUUUUUGUUGUGUUUUGCUUUUGUAAAGGGCUGAACCACGUGCGCAGGAUAAUGGUUAAAAAGCAGCACAGACAGCUUUAAAAAAAACAUAAAAAGAGAGAAAAACAGUAAAGAAAUUAAAAUAAAAGGUCCAGCUGGCAUUCUUCUGUUAUCAAAGCAAGACACAGCACGGAGAUCCAUGUAUGCUGUCUCAGUGCUGUAAUACUGAACCCUAGUGAAGCUCCCUCAGUUUUAUACUGAGAAACACCCUCAGAGAUCCCCCCCAGAAGGAAAAAGAAUAGAGAAGUGGUCAGGCUGAAACAGGUUGCCUUCCCCACAGCUUAAAUCUCAUAUUGUUUUCUGGUGUGAAAGUGGAAGAAUUGGGUCCCGCUGCUCUGUGCUGGGAUGGGAAAGGCUGGGAGGGAGGUGUGGAGGAGAUGAGGUAUCCUUGGGAUGGGGCAGGAAGGACCAAGAUGCUCAGCAUCAGCACUGGGUGAUGCAAAUCAAAACUGACAGAUUUAAAACGUGCAAGGGGAAAAAGGUAUUUUUUUAUAGCAGCCUACAAUUAACGUGUGGCUCAGAGGAGCCAUAUAUGCAAACAGGCUGGUGUCUGACCAAAGACACUUGCUGCAAGAAGAUGUGUUUUCCAGGUGUAGGGCUUAUUUAAGAUAUAAACAAGUGAUUAAGCUUUUAGCUCUGCAUCACUUGCCAAACUGCUCCGGCUUCAGCAGAACCAGAGGCAGCAACGUGAGUUGGCUGAGCACUGUUGCAGCCCACCCAGUGGGAUUUCACAGCCUGUGCUUUGCUCCUUUUGCUGCUGGAGCCUUAGGUCCAGGGCAGAGCAGAAGUUAAUGCAGAGCAUGUUGGAUAGACGGUGUUGGCUGCACUGCCUGGAAGCAUCCCCUGCAGUUGGUGUAUAGGUGCAGACAGGAUAAGCACGAGGUGCUGAUGUCCUUUGGAGUCCAAAUAUGCAACCCACAUUAACACAGCAUCUUCCUGUACAUCUGCUGGUGAUGCUGUGCCAGCAGAGCUGGGGGUGGGAGGACAGAAUGAUGUACCUUGUCCUCCCUGCAAUGCAGUAGAUUGGAGGUGGUCCUCUGCCCAAUCAUGUCACUGCUGAUCUCAUUGGAACAGAAGGGCUGAAAUGUCUCCCCGUGCACUAAGAGUUAAGGGGUCUGUGAAGCUCUGAAGAUAAGAAACAGAUGAUAAAGGUUAGGGAGGGGAUCGCAUUUCCAUUAUGCAGCCUGUAAAUGCGAACUAAUUAGAAUGCAGCCUUCUUUCUGAGAAAAUGCAAAGAAGGAAGAAAGCAAAAAAAAAACAAAAACAAAAAAAAAACCACCACCAAUAAACGCAUCUCUUUCUUCCCAGGCAAAAAAGCCAUUUGAGUGCUGAAGGCCUGAGAAUAUGGAAUAACCCAGCUUUGCUGCUGGAAAUACACAUCAGCCAUGGUGUGCGUGUGGCUGAAGAGGUGCUGGGCUGCCCUGGCCUUCUUCUGGCCCCACGGGAUUUGAAGUUUUCACCCAUUCUGGCUGCACUGCUGGGCUGUAGGGAGCUGAUGCCUGCUGAGCUGGACCUUGGUCUGUACUGUGUUGGUCUGAAACACAGGACAGAAAUUAAAGCAAACCCAGUGGUUUGGUCUGUCAGGAGCUUCCUGGAGUUCAGAGCAGCAGCUGAUGGCUUUAGUACAACUUCAGGGUAGCCACUGCCAGUUAAGAGGAAAACAUUUGUGUUUUUGCUUAAAGUGAGGCAUCUCUGUUUGCAAUGACACCUUCACCUGCUGGGCUCCAGCCUUCCUCAGGCAGUCUCACCGAGCUGGGAGCUGGAGAUUUUGGCAACAAGGGCUGAAAUGGUGGUUAUUCCCGGGACUGGAACGCCACCUACCCUUAACCACUUCCCAGGGAAGGUGCUGCAGAGACACACUGCAGGUUUCCUCUGCACAUCAUCUGGAGGAGGA